AUGUCCUGCAGGAGAUGGACAGCGAGGCCGCUGACAAGGUCUCUGAACGACGCGCUAGCGGUGGUGGCGGCAGCGACCAAGGCCGUUGACGAGAAGAUCGCGAUGGAGGAGAAGUUUUGGAACUGGAAGAUGGAGAUUGUUAGGAGGAAGCACAACCACAUCUUGUCCCUGUUCAACCUACACAAGGUGUUGGUGGAGAAGAAGCAGGGAAGCUGCUCGCUGAGAAGACCACGCAACAGAAGACCCCCACCGCUGCCGGUGUUAUCUCUAGCACGAGCUGACCACAUCGGGCGUUAG
rnacentral:rRNA from 1 species